ACUGCUCAGUAACACGUGGCUAAUCUGCCCUUGGGACCGGAACACCCCCGGGAAACUGGGGCUAAUUCUCGAUAGGUGAAGAACUCUGGAAUGAGUCUUCGCCUAAAAGACGCUUGCGUUAUGCUCGUAGGCGUCGCCCAAGGAUGAGGCCGCGACCGAUCAGGUUGUUGGUGAGGUAAUGGCUCACCAAGCCUUUUACCGGUGCGGGCCGUGGGAGCGGGAGCCCGGAGAUGGGCACUGAGACAAGGGCCCAGGCCCUACGGGGCGCAGCAGUCGCGAAAACUUUGCAAUAAGCGAAAGCUUGACAGGGCUAUCCCGAGUGCCAUCCGCUGAGGAAGGCUUUUACCCAGUCUAGAACGCUGGGGGAAUAAGGAGAGGGCAAGUCUGGUGUCAGCCGCCGCGGUAAUACCAGCUCUCCGAGUGGUGUGGAUGUUUAUUGGGCCUAAAGCAUCCGUAGCUGGCUAAGUUAGUCCCUUGUUAAAUCCACCGAAUUAAUCGUUGGAUUGCGGGGGAUACUGCUUGGCUAGGGGACGAGAGAGGCAGACGGUAUUUCCGGGGUAGGGGUGAAAUCCUAUAAUCCCGGGAAGACCACCAGUGGCGAAGGCUGUCUGCUAGAACGCGCCCGACGGUGAGGGAUGAAAGCUGGGGGAGCGAACCGGAUUAGAUACCCGGGUAGUCCCAGCUGUAAACGAUGCAGGCUAGGUGUUUGGACGGCCACGUGCCGUUCUAGUGCCGCAGGGAAGCUGUUAAGCCUGCCGCCUGGGGAGUACGAUCGCAAGAUUGAAACUUAAAGGAAUUGGCGGGGGAG
rnacentral:rRNA from 1 species